GCGCGCGCAGGUGGUUUCUUAAGUCUGAUGUGAAAGCCCACGGCUCAACCGUGGAGGGUCAUUGGAAACUGGGAGACUUGAGUGCAGAAGAGGAAAGUGGAAUUCCAUGUGUAGCGGUGAAAUGCGUAGAGAUAUGGAGGAACACCAGUGGCGAAGGCCACCUCCUGGUCUGUAACUGACACUGAGGCGCGAAAGCGUGGAGAGCAAACAGGAUU
rnacentral:rRNA from 1 species